UACGUAGGGGGCUAGCGUUAUCCGGAUUUACUGGGCGUAAAGGGUGCGUAGGUGGUUUCUUAAGUCAGAGGUGAAAGGCUACGGCUCAACCGUAGUAAGCCUUUGAAACUGAGAAACUUGAGUGCAGGAGAGGAGAGUGGAAUUCCUAGUGUAGCGGUGAAAUGCGUAGAUAUUAGGAGGAACACCAGUUGCGAAGGCGGCUCUCUGGACUGUAACUGACACUGAGGCACGAAAGCGUGGGGAGCAAACAGGAUUAGAUACCCUGGUAGUCCCUGA
rnacentral:rRNA from 1 species